rnacentral:rRNA from 1 species
UACGUAGGGACCAAGCGUUGUUCGGAUUUACUGGGCGUAAAGGGCGCGUAGGCGGCUUGACAAGUCACUUGUGAAAUCUCCGGGCUUAACUCGGAACGGCCAAGUGAAACUGUCAUGCUAGAGUGCAGAAGGGGCAAUCGGAAUUCUUGGUGUAGCGGUGAAAUGCGUAGAUAUCAGGAGGAACACCAAUGGCGAAGGCAGCUCGCUGGGACGGUACUGACGCUGAGGCGCGAAAGCGUGGGGAGCAAACAGG